rnacentral:rRNA from 1 species
UACGAAGGGGGCUAGCGUUGUUCGGAUUUACUGGGCGUAAAGCGCACGUAGGCGGAUCGAUCAGUCAGGGGUGAAAUCCCAGAGCUCAACUCUGGAACUGCCUUUGAUACUGUCGAUCUGGAGUAUGGAAGAGGUGAGUGGAAUUCCGAGUGUAGAGGUGAAAUUCGUAGAUAUUAGGAAGAACACCAGUGGCGAAGGCGGCUCACUGGUCCGGUACUGACGCUGAGGUGCGAAAGCGUGGGAGCAAACAGG